UGCAACCACAUCUGGUACAGCAGGUGCA
rnacentral:piRNA from 1 species